CUCUCCAAAGGGAAGAGAUGUACAGCCAUCCUCUGGCACAGCCAAGAGACUGGCAGGGAAGGCACUCAAUUAGGAUAUUCAGCAGCAGCAGGCUUCCCUGAGCUGAUUAUCUACUGCAUUCAGGGUGUUUCUUACACAGUUCCUGAUAGCUCUCGAAGACUUGGAGAGAAUUUGGAGAAGGAGAACAAUGUCUAGUUCCAUGUUGUUCAUUGCAUGGAUGCAAUCAGCGGUAUUAUACACGAAAAGUGGCUGAAAAUCUUCUGGGCCACUGAGCUUUUAAAAUCUAAAGUCAAGAUCAGCAUCUACAGCAGGAGCUGUUUGGAUCUUUGUAGGCAGAAAAUGGAAUGAAUGGGUUUCCUUCCUCGAUGGCACUAAGGAUUUCCUCAGAGACCUGAGAAGUUUCACGGUGAAGAAAUCCCAGCCCAGCAUUGGUUUAAAAAGCUAUUCUAGUCAUACACCUGCACCUCACAUUAUUACUAUGGUGAUCCACAAGAUCAGCAAGACAAUAACCACAGCUUUCUCCACACAUGUGGGUUGCUUCAAGGCCUUUGGGACCUUUAGUCGUGCUAAGUCACCAUAACAUGACUUUCCUUCAUUAGACUAUCUCAAUUUACAGCUUGUCUACAAGACAAGUCUACAAGAAUGGCUUUUCCUACAAAUGCCCUGCAAAACAGCUGAAAUAGCUCUGCACAUCCACUGUUCCACUGAUGACUGCUCCCGUUUCUAUUAAACUGGAAUAGGCGGGUUUUUUACUGCUUUAGGGGCUUCUCCCUUUUCAGAGUCUUAAUUAGUUAAAUCUCAUCUUUCAUGGGUAUCAUUGUAUUUUUUUCUUGGACUGUGGAGUAUGUGUGCAAGUGACUUUAUCUUUCAUUACAGUGUGUCGUAUCACAACACUACGGUAUUGAAUACAAUGUAAUUUACUAAAAUCUAUUAAAACACUUCCAUUUUAGAAAACCAUUACAUGCUUCCUUGUUGUUAUUACCAUAUCCAAGAAUGCCAGCGCAACAGGAGAAUUAACUUGAUGAACAGUCCUGCAAAAUGUGCCAUUACAAGCUGUUUCUAAAACAUCUUUCAAGGCAUCUCCGUCAGCUCAUGGAUUCUCUUUGGUUUUCUUUCUUUUCUAGAACUAUUUGCUAGCCCUCAGUUGUGUUCUGUACUGAGGUUGUUCAUGUCGUUCGCUACUGCCAGUUGGCUCAUGAUGAGAUAAUAUGGCAGAAUCACAAACGUUUCCUCAUAGGACAAAGUGUUAUUGACAACAGAAGAUCCUAGACAAACAAGUAUCUGUAGUAAUAAUAUGAUUUCAGUGUCCAUUGGAUUUAAGCAAAAGCAAAAAAGGCUUGAAGAAGUGCUAUUAUUUUAGAUAAUUAAAGUUCUUCUACUUGCUGACUUCAGUCUGUCCAGAUUGUGCUGCCACCUCCAUGCAACCAUAGCAACUUCUUCCUGCUGUUGUGUCCCAGAUUAAUGUGAACACCUGGAAUCAAAAACCUGAGGCUUGCGAGUAAGGUAACAUAAAACUUUAUUGAUCCUUCGCGUAUGGCGUGGGUCCAGUCACACAGCAGUGAUUCACUUUCCAAAGCUCUUUCUCAGCAUGGAGUGGUGGUGGGUUCUCUAGAGGCCAAUCUCUUCUUUGACUGCUUCAAAGUCCUAAUCAGGAAUAUUUGAAGGAGGUGACUGCAAGGAAAUCACACAUUCCUUCAAGAGAUGCAGGUCUUCAUCACUUUGAUUUUAGCAAAUUAAUAUUGUUAAAGAUAGGUCACAACUAAAUAUGCUCUUGACUUGCCUGUUUUUACUGGGCUCAUUUCAGCACUAUAAAAUUUAUACAUGCCAACAGGGUUCAAUGGGAGCAGUUUGUGGGCAAUUAAGGUUAAAUUUUAGCCUUGGUCAUAUGUGACUGCUCCUGUAAAUGUGGUAAAACACAGUUAGAGCAUAUAUCUCUAGAGAAUAAAUAGGCAGUGCUUUAAGGAAGCAAUGGAAAGAUAAAUGGAUGCAGAAGAAGCUCUGGAAUUUUGCUUGAAAUAAUUUUCUCUUUGCUUUUAAUGAUCAAAACCAUUCCUCCCACUGAACCACAUAAAAAAGUACUAUUUGUGUCUGUGCCAAAGGUGGAGCAUAGUGUAGACCCACUGAAAUAAAAGACAAGUGAAAAAUUAAUGAGAAACUGGAAACCAGCGGCUCCCACCCUGUGAGCAGCAAUCUUUUAUAUACUUCUUCCACAGUGAAUAUCUCAAUAGGGCUAAAAUCACAGUAGCUCCUUUGACUUCAAAGGAGAUGUACCAAUUGGGAAGUAGGGAAAACAAUCUGGAAUGCACUGUACUAAAUCUGCAGAACUUUGGAAGGGAAGUGAGCCCCUAAUAGAACAAUUCAUUGUUCAGGAGAGGAGGGAAUAUUCUUACUAUGAAACAGUCUUAAGCAAGGAGGAAGGGUCUACAGGUGAACCUAAAUCCAUCUCUCAUUGAGGUACUCACUGCCCCAACAGGGAUGCAGACUGCACCUUUAGCUAUCAUUUCUAGAGUUAGCAAGAUACAGACAAAUACAACAGAGAGUCCUGUGAGAUAUAGGUAUUCUUUUUCCGUAAACCCUCCACUUACCAAUAUCUGCUCUAGAAGAAAUGACUAUUCUGAGAUUCUCCUUUCCCAAAGCCUGCUAACAUCCAUCUGUGCAAGUACCAACACAGUCUUGUAUUUUGUCCUGGAAGGGGCUUUUUUUCCUCUAGAAGCCCCAACAGUAACUCCAGAGAACCCGCUAAUUAAUUAUACCUUUUUCCCUGCUAUGUGAUGUUUGAAAUACUGGUUCUUCAUGCUCUUUUGGGAAAGUCUGAUGAAGCAAAUGGAAACACUCCCCCUAUUUAUAUAUUUAGCAGUCAUGUGACACAGUUUUCCAAAAAAAUGAAGAUUUGGGGGGAGGGGAUCAGAAAUCACUGAAAAUAUUAAUAAGCGUAUUCUUUUGUUAUGUAUGAGCCAGAAGAAGCUCUCAUACCUCUAAUGUGGAGCCAAUGAUCCAAGAGAAUUUCCUAAUCUAGUGUCUUUCCCCAUGUAGUCAUAUAAUAGCGUUUGUCUUCGACAGCAUGCUUAAUAAGUUCAUUCUACAGUUUUGAAAUGACGCCUUUGGAACUUGGGGAGUUCGUUAUCACCUGCUCAUUGUAAGUAGUACCUCUCUGAAUCCGCUAUUUCUUAGGAGUUAGAUAUACAGUGUUUUAAUUGCACAUCAUUAAAUGCUUUACCUACACUGAAUAUUCUCUGUGAAGUCUGUGGGACCAUAAUUUCCUCCCCUGUAAUUAACUGAAUUCACGUGGCAGCACUAGUAAAGUGCUGGAAGGAGGGGAGGUAGGAAGGAUCUGCAUCAGAUCUGAAUGAGGCCCUUAUUCGAGUUAGUACCUACAGUCUGAACCAUCCUGGCUUUAUGAGUAUUAAGAUAACAAAAGUCAGCAAUAUCAUGUCACUCAUAUUCCUGGCAGAAGAAACCUCUGCUUAGUUCAGAUUCUCCUGAGCCCAGCUGGGCUCCUCACCCCAGACCUGUUGUAACCUCUCAAUGGCCACAUUUAUCUGCCGUCACUCAGGUGGUUUUAAGAGGCUGUUAAUUAACAAAAACUGACAAUUGCACCUUAUUUUACAGGAAAAUAAACUAAAGUGGGUAUAGGAUUUAAGUGGCUCGCCCAAGAUUUCAUACUGAGUUAACGUCGACAAAAAGAGAAGGCAUACAUCCUGGACAAAGCUGCGCUGCAUAGACCAUGUCCAACAGCUGUGAGUGUGGGGUUAAUAAUGAACUCUGUUGCAGCAGGUGAGGAUUUUUUUUCCCUGCAUUUAACAAAGUCUGGUUUUCUGUGUGCUUUGUCUCCUGGCUUCUAAGGUGGCACGAGUUCAAGAAGUGUUUUAUGCAGGUUAGGCCAUUUGUGAAGGCUGUUUUCCACCAUCCUACCAUUUUAGCUCUCCAGUAUCUGAUACUAUACAAACUUGUGCUGCAGCAAUUCCCGGCAUUAUGGACACACGCGGAAUCGCUCUCCUCUACCUAUUUUUAUAACACUUGAAGGAACACAACCCUCUCUGGAACCUCUACCCCUCUGUCAAAGUAGGUUGAAAUUGAGCAAUCAGUUCAAAAGUUAUUGGGGAGGGGAGGAGGAUGUAGACACAGACACACAGACCGUACAAUUGCAUAAGCCUUGUUCCCAUGAGAAACCAGACUGAAAAACAAACUGUCCUAACAUGGAUUCUCAUAACUCCGCCUAGUAUGUAAGUCAUGCCAGGUCUCAAACUCAUGUAACUUUUCCUUUAUCACCAAUGGACUCUUCUUUAGGAGGCAGUCCUUAUUUUGACAGAUUUGACCCCUCAUGUUUCAGCUCAUUGAGACAUCCUUGGGGGGAAAAAAAAGCGCUCUUACAAGUUGAUGUAAUCCAAUAUCAAAAACCAUCUCAAUCUCAUACCACGGUACGAUUUAUCCUGUGGGGCAGAGCUGAAAAACCAUCAGGGAAUAGAUAUGACAUUACCUCUAUCUACCAGCCUACCUCCACUGCACUGCGAGAUCAAGGGGUUUUGAAUAAUAUUCUAUAUCUCUAAUGGGUCUAUUCUUCCCUUGAAGGAGGAGAAUCAUUCCCAUUAACAUUAAUGGGAAUUAUGUGUCUACCCUGAGAAUAAAAUUGACAUUAGGCCUAUUCUCAAGAAAUAAAAAUCUUUGCAUGCUUGUUGCAGAGAGACAUUCUUAAAAAUAAACUCUCAAGAAAACAUAUUAAUAUAGCUAGCCUUUCAAUUUAAUCCUGAGCCCUCAGUCCUGCACACACUUAAUCAUGCGUUUACCUCCAAGGUGAUCAGUAGGCCUACUAAGUUUCAGCUUUACUUUUUUUGUAAAGUUUUCCUACGCUAAUAUACUCCAUGCAAUCAUGAGACUUUAAAUAAAUUGAAGGGAGCCCCCCCCAGGCAUGCAAACCCUGCCUAUGGAAUUCAGCUACUCUCUGCCCUGCAGAGCGGCUCCCCCAUCCUCAUGCACGCUGCAAACCCUCUGAUGGUCACAAGCAGCCAAUUUAUAGCGAGUCCUUGACUGGCCUGUGCAAGUGGAGAGGUGAGAAGGGUGCAAAAUUUAACUCCUUCCUUAUCAGGGCCAUAUCCUCUUCCUUGCCCUUGUCUAGGUUAGGAAGUGAGUAAACUGGGUUGAUACCAGCCUGUAGAAAGGUGAAGAUGAGCCAGGGUUUCUCACAUGAGAAAAGUACAAUUCCAACAGACAAAAAUGUUUUCCAAACACUACAAACUCUUGACAUGGGUCACCCUUAGGUUUGGGCCUGGUCAGCUGUGACUGACGGAGCCAUAUCCCGCCCCUCGGAUAUGCCAGUAAGUCUUGGCAUUAGAGGAGCCCUGAUCCUGCUCAGAGCUGAGGUCUUUGCCCUGCUGAGGGAAACCCUAUUUCACAUCUCUUUUGUGCCCACAUCAGCCUUGUGUGAGAGAGGGACAGCGCUACUGCAUUCCCACAGACCAUGUUGCAGCUGAAAGGGAACAGGAGACUUUCAAUGUGUUUCUAAUUAUCACAUUCAGGACCACGCAUGAAAACCUCCAGCACCGUGUUCUCAUUUUGCUUGGAUGGCCCCUUCACUAAGCCUUGCUAUGGGUGGCUUGCCACAACUCCUACGACUACUAAAAGGUGUCCCCCAGCUGCGUUCCCACUCUUUUUGGAAAGACUUGCACCUUGCCAUUGCAUUCAACAGGGCCGAUCGCCAACUCUGCUGGAGUAAAUCCUAUGUUUUCCCUUCUUGGUGGAGAAGAGCAUGUCCAGCUCCCAGGACAGCAUGAGGAAACAAACAUUGUAGUUAGUUAUGCUGGCUAGUGCAAUACUGGGAGGUACUGCAGGCUAUGGAGGUACACACUAUCAUAAGAAGAUUUGUACACAAGUAUAUUGAAUAUGAAGGAUUUCUCCAAUGGAUGAAAAUGUUUUGGGGCCCUUCCGCACAGUUAAAUAGGAAUUGUAGUGAUAAAUGUUGUGUCUUGCAGAAAGGUCUCAUCUGAGAACGGCUGAUCCCUUCUGGGCUGUCUUCUGGGCAUCUGCACGCUUUGACAGGGACUGCAGCUACAAUGCCACCAGACAUAUGGUCCUUCUUGGGUGUCAAAAUGUUUCUGCUUUUGAACAGUGCCAGUUGGUGCAUGCUGAUAUGGGAAUAACCACACUUCCCCAAAGCUGAGCAGCUGUAGGACUUGUGAACAAAGUGGCUGUGGGGCAAAACAAGAGCAGUCCAAAUAAACACAAUGAGAAACGUCACUCGUCUCAGCAGACACGUUUACAGAAAAAUAGGUUUUUUUACACAUAAGGGAAUAUUCUUUCUCUUUCUCUUUCUUUUCUCAGAAAAAUAAUCAAAAACAAAGCUGGCAAUAUCUCCA